AUACGUAGGGUGCGAGCGUUGUCCGGAAUUACUGGGCGUAAAGAGCUCGUAGGUGGUUUGUCGCGUCGUCUGUGAAAUUCCGGGGCUUAACUCCGGGCGUGCAGGCGAUACGGGCAUAACUUGAGUACUGUAGGGGAGACUGGAAUUCCUGGUGUAGCGGUGAAAUGCGCAGAUAUCAGGAGGAACACCGGUGGCGAAGGCGGGUCUCUGGGCAAUAACUGACGCUGAGGAGCGAAAGCAUGGGUAGCGAACAGGAUUAGAUACCCUGGUAGUCCGUGCCGUAAACGGUGGGCGCUAGGUGUAGGGGUCUUCCACGACUUCUGUGCCGUAGCUAACGCAAUAAGCGCCCCGCCUGGGGAGUACGGCCGCAAGGCUAAAACUCAAAUGAAUUGGCGGGG
rnacentral:rRNA from 1 species